GGUUAAGCGACUAAGCGUACACGGUGGAUGCCCUGGCAGUCAGAGGCGAUGAAGGGCGUGCUAAUCUGCGAUAAGCGCCGGUAAGGUGAUAUGAACCGUUAUAACCGGCGAUACCCGAAUGGGGAAACCCAGUGUGAUUCGUCACACUAUCAUUAACUGAAUCCAUAGGUUAAUGAGGCGAACCGGGGGAACUGAAACAUCUAAGUACCCCGAGGAAAAGAAAUCAACCGAGAUUCCCCCAGUAGCGGCGAGCGAACGGGGAGGAGCCCAGAGCCUGAAUCAGCAUGUGUGUUAGUGGAAGCGUCUGGAAAGGCGCGCGAUACAGGGUGACAGCCCCGUACACAAAAGCGCAUGUGCUGUGAGCUCGAUGAGUAGGGCGGGACACGUGGUAUCCUGUCUGAAUAUGGGGGGACCAUCCUCCAAGGCUAAAUACUCCUGACUGACCGAUAGUGAACCAGUACCGUGAGGGAAAGGCGAAAAGAACCCCGGCGAGGGGAGUGAAAAAGAACCUGAAACCGUGUACGUACAAGCAGUGGGAGCACAGGUUUACCUGUGUGACUGCGUACCUUUUGUAUAAUGGGUCAGCGACUUAUAUUCUGUAGCAAGGUUAACCGAAUAGGGGAGCCGGAGGGAAACCGAGUCUUAACCGGGCGUUAAGUUGCAGGGUAUAGACCCGAAACCCGGUGAUCUAGCCAUGGGCAGGUUGAAGGUUGGGUAACACUAACUGGAGGACCGAACCGACUAAUGUUGAAAAAUUAGCGGAUGACCUGUGGCUGGGGGUGAAAGGCCAAUCAAACCGGGAGAUAGCUGGUUCUCCCCGAAAGCUAUUUAGGUAGCGCCUCGUGAACUCAUCUCCGGGGGUAGAGCACUGUUUCGGCUAGGGGGCCAUCCCGGCUUACCAACCCGAUGCAAACUGCGAAUACCGGAGAAUGUUAUCACGGGAGACACACGGCGGGUGCUAACGUCCGUCGUGAAGAGGGAAACAACCCAGACCGCCAGCUAAGGUCCCAAAGUCAUGGUUAAGUGGGAAACGAUGUGGGAAGGCCCAGACAGCCAGGAUGUUGGCUUAGAAGCAGCCAUCAUUUAAAGAAAGCGUAAUAGCUCACUGGUCGAGUCGGCCUGCGCGGAAGAUGUAACGGGGCUAAACCAUGCACCGAAGCUGCGGCAGCGACGCUGAUGCGUUGUUGGGUAGGGGAGCGUUCUGUAAGCCUGUGAAGGUGUGUCGUGAGGC
rnacentral:rRNA from 1 species